rnacentral:rRNA from 1 species
GAGGAAUAUUGGUCAAUGGGCGAGAGCCUGAACCAGCCAAGUAGCGUGCAGGAUGACGGCCCUAUGGGUUGUAAACUGCUUUUGUAUGGGGAUAAAGUCAGUCACGUGUGAUUGUUUGCAGGUACCAUACGAAUAAGGACCGGCUAAUUCCGUGCCAGCAGCCGCGGUAAUACGGAAGGUCCAGGCGUUAUCCGGAUUUAUUGGGUUUAAAGGGAGCGUAGGCUAGAGAUUAAGUGUGUUGUGAAAUGUAGACGCUCAACGUCUGAAUUGCAGCGCAUACUGGUUUCCUUGAGUACGCACAACGUUGGCGGAAUUCGUCGUGUAGCGGUGAAAUGCUUAGAUAUGACGAAGAACUCCGAUUGCGAAGGCAGCUGACGGGAGCGCAACUGACGCUGAAGCUCGAAGGUGCGGGUAUCGAACAGGAUUAGAUACCCUGGUAGUCCGCACAGUAAACGAUGGAUGCCCGCUGUUGGUACCUAGUAUCAGCGGCUAAGCGAAAGCAUUAAGCAUCCCACCUGGGGAGUACGCCGGCAACGGUG